rnacentral:rRNA from 1 species
AAGAGGGGGCUAAAUGCAGUCGUGCGAGAAAGGGGGGCAACCCCCUGAGUAAAGCGGCGCACGCGGUGAGUAACACGUAGGUAAUCUCCCCUCGAGCCUGGAAUAACCUACCGAAAGGUGGGCUAAUACCGGAUAUGACCACGGAAGUUUCGGCUUCUGCGGUGAAAGAUGGCCUCUAUUUAUAAGCUAUCACUCAAGGAUGAGCCUGCGUGCCAUUAGCUAGUUGGUGGGGUAAUGGCCCACCAAGGCUAUGAUGGCUAGCUGGUCUGAGAGGAUGGCCAGCCACACUGGGACUGAAACACGGCCCAGACUCCUACGGGAGGCAGCAGUGGGGGAUAUUGCGCAAUGGGCGAAAGCCUGACGCAGCGACGCCGCGUGGGUGAUGAAGGCCUUCGGGUCGUAAAGCCCUGUCGAGGGGAAAGAAUCGGUUGCGACCUAAUACGUCGUGAUCCUGACGGUACCCCUAAAGGAAGCACCGGCUAACUCCGUGCCAGCAGCCGCGGUAAUACGGAGGGUGCGAGCGUUGUUCGGAAUCACUGGGCGUAAAGCGCGUGUAGGCGGCCCACUAAGUCUGAUGUGAAAGCCCGGGGCUCACCCCCGGAAGUGCAUUGGAAACUGGUGGACUCGAGUCCCGGAGAGGAGAGUGGAAUUCCUGGUGUAGCGGUGAAAUGCGUAGAUAUCAGGAGGAACACCGGUGGCGAAGGCGGCUCUCUGGACGGUGACUGACGCUGAGACGCGAAAGCGUGGGGAGCAAACAGGAUUAGAUACCCUGGUAGUCCACGCCGUANACGAUGAGCACUAGGUGUCGCGGGUAUUGACCCCUGCGGUGCCGACGCUAACGCAUUAAGUGCU